GGCACUGAUGCAUUUAUUAAUUAUGCCUUAAGUUUUUGUAAGAUAUUUAUUUAUUUAUGGAUGAGAUAUUUUACUAAUGGGUGUACUUAUGUCCUUGCUUAUCUCUGUCUCUCCCCGCAGGACUGCCAACCGGUAUGGUAUUUCACGGAAGAGAAACCAUAGAUUUACGAACUGGCGGCGGCGCUGCUGGCCAGAUCACGUGACGUCGCCCCCAAGAGACUGAGUCAAGUCCUACAGCCGCACUUCCACCGGGGUUCCUUCGGUAGAGUACAGGUGUGAUGAUUCUGCCUUCACCUGGCCCGCCCACGCCCGCAUCUUAUCCUUUAAUUAGUCCCCAGCCUGCCCUCCAGCACCUGCCCCUCAUCUCCUCUCACUUGUCCUUAUCUGGGUGCACCACUCGCCUUCUUAAUUUCAAACUUUAUUUUUGUAUAUCUACGUAUUUAUAUUUCGAGGCUGGAUACUUACCAUUUUCUUUCUAACUCAUAUGGAGUAACUCAAAUAUUAUGGACUUGGUCAACUAAACGAAGAUUCCUUGGGCUGAUGGAAUCUUCGGAAUGCUAAGUUGCCUCACUGCGUGUUUGUUCGCCUGUGCGAUGAUAUGGACAUGCAGUGAGGAGCUCAAAACACGAUAACAAGUCCAUAACACGUUGAGCGAGGUGAGAUUAGAUAGAGGGGCUGAUCCCACUAAUUAUGCAUUUUAUAUUCUUCAUAUUAUUUUUUAUCAUCACCAAUCAUUUAGUCUAUUUGCCACCACUUCGUAUGCCACCGUUUACUCUUGUACUCCCAUGUCCUCCCUUCACUCCUCAUCCAUACCCUUUCCUUAAAUUACCAUCAACCAUAACUUACUAUAUUCCCAAAGUUUAAUUAACUACUACCUGCCCGACUAUGUACUGUACUUCAUAUUACCACCUCCUCAUACAAUUAUGGUUGGAAAGUAGGAAAGAAAGUAACUAGGAAAAAGAACUGAGAGGAAGUCAUAAGACUAAAACUACCUGGAACACAUAAGGCUGGAGAACACAGGAAGGAAAAGAUAUGACUCUUUCUCCGCGUUACUUUUUUUUUCCUUCCUUCCUUUCUCCCUUCCUCACACUCAUAGCAUUCAUACAUCCUCCGUUAAAACUAUACUGCCACACGCACGCACCUUGUAUGUACCGUAUCAUAACCCCAAAAUCUAUCCCUUCUAUACCCUUUCCUCAAGAUCAUGGUGCCACACACACACACACACACACACACACACACUCUCUCUCUCUCUCUCUACCCCAGCAGCGCCUACUUCCAACCUUCACCAUCAUCACAACUCUAACAUCUAUAACUUUUCUCCCUGAUAUCAUCCACCUAUACCAACUUCCCCGUAAAGGAGAUAAGAUUAGCAAGAUUUAAGAGGUCCAUAAUGCCACCACUACGUCAAGGCCACACCAGGAAGACAAACCAAUAGACCUUCCUUCACUAAAGACCUUCAGCGUUGUCUGCGAGUUUUAUUACCCCCCGACCCCCUUCAUUCCAUAACUUGGUGUUGCUGCCCCACGUGUCAGGGAAGGUGGCAACCCCGGCCUGUGUGUCGUAUUGCAUCUGUGGUGGCUGGUGUAUUCCGUAUAUAUCCUUUAUAUUAUUAUGUAUGGUUGUAGCAUUUGGAAAUACACACAAGGAGGAUUUUACUUCCACGCUGCUUUCUCUUACAUCCUUUCUUCGUGAUGCUGUGAUGCUGUGAAGGUGCCACUGUGAGCUGCGAUUAAGUUCCCCCCCUGGACUUUUUUCCCUACGUGACAUUUUUCCCGUUGUAGAUUUCCACCACGGACAGUGUGUGUGUGUGUGUGUGUGUGUGUGUGUGUGUGUGUGUGUGUGUGUGUGUGUG